UCGCCCACGGAGGAAUGGCUACAUCAGCGACAGCUCCGAGGAGGGGGAGGGAGCAUCCAAGAGGAGCUCUUUGGCCCAGCAGUUGAUGGAUACGCCAGCACCUGACGCCAAAACCCAACCGCUCGUGAGGCAGCCCAAUGAGCAUGACGGUCUCUCAUCAUCCACUCCCCUAGAGGAGGAAAGCGACCGUGGCUCCUGGGAGUCACUGGUGGACAAGUACAGUGAAGGAAAAGACCUCAUGGUUAUUAGAAAAAGCCAAAGAGAAGAAAGUGCCCAUGAAAAUCUAUCCAGAUAUUACAGGAGACACCAUGGCUUGGAAGGGAGAAAGCACGUUUAGUACAACACCAUACUGCUAAUCACCAUCAUCCACUGCUUCCGCUGCAGCUCUGCUCUCCUGGUACCAUGAAUCCACCUUGCAGGUCCUCUCAUCGUUCUAUUCUCGUGGAAUCCAUCGUCAUCCACUGCUUCCGCUGCAACUCUGCUGUCCUGCAGACGCCAUACCACGGGAAGCAUGGAGCCCGCUCAGCUAAAUGCUGCUAUUGUGAGCAUUGUAAACACCUCGCGCAUUAUCCUGCAGUAUGUGCAGAACCUGCAAAAGCAGGCGAGGAGGUGACGACAGCGCGAUCAUGAUAGUGAUGAGGACAUGGACACAGACUUCUCUCAAAGCACGGGCCCUGGCAAUUUGGACAUCAUGGUAGUAAUGGGGCAGGUUCAUGCCAUGGAACGCUGAUUCUGGGCCCAGGAAACAAGCACAGACUGGUGGGACUGCAUAGUGUUGCAGGUCUGGGAUGAUUCCCAGUGGCUGCGAAACUUUUGCAUGUGUAAGGGCACUUUCAUGGAACUUUGUGACUUGCUUUCCCCUUCCCUGAAGCGGAAGAAUACCAAGAUGAGAGUAGCUCUCACAGUUGAGAAGCGAGUGGAGAUAGCCCUCUGGAAGCUUGCAACGCCAGACAGCUACCAGUCAGUCGGGAAUCAAUUUGGAGUGGGUAAAUAUAAUGUGGGGGCUGCUGUGAUCCAAGUAGCCAAUGCAAUCAUUGAGCUGCUGCUAUCAAGGGUAGUGACUCUGGGAAAUGUGCAGGUCAUAGUGGAUGGCUCUGCUGCAAUGGGGUUCCCUAACUGUGGUGGGGCGAUAGAUAGAACGCAUAUCCCUAUCUUGGGACUGGACCACCUUGGCAGCCAGUACGUAAACCGCAAGGGGUACUUUUCAGUGGUGCUGCAAGCACUGGUGGAUCACAAGGGACAUUUCACCGACAUCAACGUGGGAUGGCCGGAAAAGGUGCAUGACGCUCGCAUCGUCAGGAACUCUGUUUGAACAGCUGCAGGAAGGAACUUACUUCCCAGACCAGAAAAUUACUGUUGGGAGUGUUGAAAUGCCUAUAGUUAUUCUCAGGGACCUAGCCUAUCCCUUAAUGCCCUGGCUCAUGAAGCCUACACAGGCACCCUGGACAGUAGUAAGGAGCAGUUCAACUAUAGGCUGAGCAAGUGCAGAAUGGUGGUAAAAUGUGCAUUUGGAUGUUUAAAAGCUCGCUGGCGCAGUUUACUGACUAGGUUAGACCUCAGCGAAACCAAUAUUCCCAUUGUUAUUGCUGCUUGCUGUGUGCUUCACAAUAUCUGUGAGAGUGAGGGGGAGACAUUUAUGGCGGGGUGCGAGGUUUAGGCAAAUCACUUGGCGGCCGAUUACGUGCAGCCAGACACCAGGGCAAUUAGAGGAGCACAGCUGGGCGCCCUACGCAUCAGAGAAACUUUGAAAAUCAGUUUCAUAACUGGCCAGGCUACAGUGUGACAGUUCUGUUUGUUUCUUCUUGAUGAAAACCCACCUUCUUGGUUGACUCUACUUCCCUGUAAGCCAACUGACCUCCCCUCUUCGA